CAGCAGCCGCGGUAAUUCCAGCUCCAGCAGCGUAUAUUUAUAUUGCUGCGUUUAAAAAGCUCGUAGUUGAAGCGUCAGACGCGGGAGGACGGACGGCCGCACCGGUCGCUUCUCGUCCGACCGAGCCAGGCGCAGAGGGCGUCCGUCGGUUGCACUUGACCGUGUGAUCGCGGCGUCGCUGCACGUUCACCUUGAGGAAAUUGAACCGCUCAGAGGAGGCGAGCAGCUUGAACAGCUCAGCAUGGUAUGAUGGAACACGGGCUCGUACUCAUUUUGUCGGUUCUGGAGUUUGCGAGCCAAUGAUUAACAGGGACUGACGGGGGCAUUCGUACUCGCACGCUAGAGGUGAAAUUCAAGGACCGUGCGAAGACGUCCCACUGCGAAAGCAUUUGCCAAGAAUGUUUUCAUUAAUCAAGAACGAAAGUCAGAGGUGCGAAGGCGAUCAGAUACCGCCGUAGUUCUGACCGUAAACGAUGCCGACUGGCAAUUGGGCGCACUUCUGCCGAAGUUGCGGCCAGCAGUAUUCUACCCGGGAAACCAAAGUUACUGGGCUCCGGGGGGAGUAUGGUUGCAAAGCUGAAACUUAAAGGAAUUGACGGAAGGGCACCACCAGGAGUGGAGCCUGCGGCUUAAUUUGACUCAACACGGG
rnacentral:rRNA from 1 species